GAUGAACGCUGGCGGCGUGCCUAAUACAUGCAAGUCGAGCGAACAGACGAGGAGCUUGCUCCUCUGACGUUAGCGGCGGACGGGUGAGUAACACGUGGAUAACCUACCUAUAAGACUGGGAUAACUUCGGGAAACCGGAGCUAAUACCGGAUAAUAUAUUGAACCGCAUGGUUCAAUAGUGAAAGACGGUUUUGCUGUCACUUAUAGAUGGAUCCGCGCCGCAUUAGCUAGUUGGUAAGGUAACGGCUUACCAAGGCAACGAUGCGUAGCCGACCUGAGAGGGUGAUCGGCCACACUGGAACUGAGACACGGUCCCGACUCCUACGGGAGGCAGCAGUAGGGAAUCUUCCGCGAUGGGCGAAAGCCUGACGGAGCAACGCCGCGUGAGUGAUGAAGGUCUUCGGAUCGUAAAACUCUGUUAUUAGGGAAGAACAAAUGUGUAAGUAACUAUGCACGUCUUGACGGUACCUAAUCAGAAAGCCACGGCUAACUACGUG
rnacentral:rRNA from 1 species